GUGGAGGAUAGGCAUGGGAAACUGUGCGUAAUACUCCAUGUGCUCUACGGAGGAAAGCCGCAAGGCGCCUUUGGAGCGGCGAUCGUCCUAUCAGCUAGUUGGUGAGGUAACGGCUCACCAAGGCUUCGACGGGUAGCGGGUGUGAGAGCACGACCCGCGACAUCGGGACUGAGACACUGCCCGGACUCCUACGGGAGGCUGCAGCGACGAAUCUUCCGCAAUGGGCGAAAGCCUGACGGAGCAAUGCCGCGUGCAGGAUGAAGCGGCUACGCCGUGUAAACUGCUGUCAGGGGGUAGAAACACUGAUCACCCCCAAAGGAAGAGCCGGCUAACCCUGUGCCAGCAGCCGCGGUAAUACAGGGGGCUCGAGCGUUAAUCGGAAUCAUUGGGCUUAAAGGGUGCGUAGGCGGGUCGCUAAGUGUUCUGUGAAAUCCCUCGGCUCAACCGGGGAAUCGCAGGGCAUACUGGCGGCCUUGAGGCAUGUAGGGGCGGACGGAACUGUAGGUGGAGCGGUGAAAUGCGUAGAUAUCUACAGGAACGCCGAUGGUGAAGACGGUCCGCUGGGCAUGUCCUGACGCUGAGGCACGAAAGCGUGGGGAGCAAACAGGAUUAGAUACCCUGGUAGUCCACGCCCUAAACGAUGUACACUAGAUCGGUGCGGCUCUGACGCCGUAUCGGUCGAAGUAAAAACGAUAAGCGUACCGCCUGGGGAGUACGGUCGCAAGGCUAAAACUCAAAGAAAUUGACGGGGGCUCACACAAGCGGUGGAGCAUGUUGCUUAAUUCGAGUCAACGCGAAGAACCUUACCUGGGUUUGACAUGGCCGGAUUAGUUCUUGGAAACAGGAAUGACACCUUCGGGUGGAACGGUCACAGGUGCUGCAUGGCUGUCGUCAGCUCGUGCUGUGAAGUGUCGGGUUAAGUCCCUUAACGAGCGCAACCCCUAUCGUUAGUUGCUAACGGGUCAUGCCGAGUACUCUAGCGAGACUGCCGGUGUCAAACCGGAGGAAGGUGGGGAUGACGUCAAGUCCUCAUGGCCCUUACAUCCAGGGAUGCAAACGUGCUACAAUGGUGCGCACAAAGCGAUGCAAGACAGCGAUGUGGAGCAAAUCGCAAAAAACGCACCCCAGUUCGGAUUGCAGGCUGCAACUCGCCUGCAUGAAGUCGGAAUCGCUAGUAAUCGGAGAUCAGCUACGCUCCGGUGAAUAUGUUCCUGAGCCUUGUACACACCGCCCGUCAAGUCAUGGGAGCCGGUAGCGCCCGAAGUCGCCACGUCACUGUGGUGCCCACGGCGAGAUCGGUGACUGGGACUAAGUCGUAACAAGGUA
rnacentral:rRNA from 1 species